GAAGUGAGAAUGCCGGUGUAAGUAACGAGAAGACGGGUGAGAAUCCCGUCCGUCUGAAACCCAAGGUUUCCAGGGGAAGGUUCGUCCGCCCUGGGUAAGUCGGGGCCUAAGGUGAGGCCGAAAGGCGUAGCUGAUGGACAUCAGGUUUAGAGUCCUGAACCACUUAUUAAACUGAAGGAGGGACAAAGGAGGCUAGGCAGGACCCCUUAGUGGAUUGGGGUCAAGGUAUCGAGGCUAAUGCGUAGGCAAAUCCGCGCAUAACAUGUUAGAUACUGAGAUAACGCUGUACGAUGUCAAACUUUCAAGAAAAACUUCUAAAGAUAUUUAAUAAGUGCCCGUACCGUAAACCGACACAGGUGGGUAGGAAGAGAAUUCUAAGACGCGCGAGAAAACCCUUGUUAAGGAACUCGGCAAAUUGACCCCGUAAGUUAGCGAUAAGGGGGACUCAUAGAGAUAUGAGUCGCAGAGAAUAGGCCCAAGCAACUGUUUAACAAAAACACAGGUUUGUGCAAAACCGAAAGGUGAAGUAUACGAGCUGACGCCUGCCCGGUGCUGGAAGGUUAAGAGGAGAUGUCAGGCAACGAAGCAUCGAAUUGAAGCCCCAGUAAACGGCGGCCGUAACUAUAACGGUCCUAAGGUAGCGAAAUUCCUUGUCGGGUAAGUUCCGACCCGCACGAAUGGCGUAACGACUUGGGCGCUGUCUCAACAAGGGACUCGGUGAAAUUGAAGUAUGGGUGAAGAUGCCCAUUACCCGCGACUGGACGGAAAGACCCCGUAGAGCUUUACUGUAGCUUAUCAUUGGGAAUUGGUAACGGAUGUACAGGAUAGGUGGGAGACUAAGAAGUAGUGUCGUCAGAUGCUAUGGAGUCAAUGUUGGGAUACCACUCUUCUGUUACUGGUUUUCUAACAACGUGCAGUGAACCUGGCGAUGGACAGUGAUAGGUGGGCAGUUUGACUGGGGCGGUCGCCUCCCAAAGAGUAACGGAGGCGCCCAAAGGUUCCCUCAGAAUGGAUGGAAACCAUUCGAAGAGUGCAAUGGCAGAAGGGAGCCUGACUGCGAGACACACGAGUCGGGCAGAGACGAAAGUCGGGCAUAGUGAUCAGGUGACAUCGAGUGGAAGAGUCAUCGCUCAACGGAUAAAAGCUACCUCGGGGAUAACAGGCUGAUCUCCCCCAAGAGUCCACAUCGACGGGGAGGUUUGGCACCUCGAUGUCGGCUCGUCGCAUCCUGGGGCUGAAGCAGGUCCCAAGGGUUUGGCUGUUCGCCAAUUA
rnacentral:rRNA from 1 species